rnacentral:rRNA from 1 species
CAGUCGAGCGGACAGAAGGGAGCUUGCUCCCGGAUGUUAGCGGCGGACGGGUGAGUAACACGUGGGUAACCUGCCUGUAAGACUGGGAUAACUCCGGGAAACCGGAGCUAAUACCGGAUAGUUCCUUGAACCGCAUGGUUCAAGGAUGAAAGACGGUUUCGGCUGUCACUUACAGAUGGACCCGCGGCGCAUUAGCUAGUUGGUGAGGUAACGGCUCACCAAGGCGACGAUGCGUAGCCGACCUGAGAGGGUGAUCGGCCACACUGGGACUGAAACACGGCCCAGACUCCUACGGGAGGCAGCAGUAGGGAAUCUUCCGCAAUGGACGAAAGUCUGACGGAGCAACGCCGCGUGAGUGAUGAAGGUUUUCGGAUCGUAAAGCUCUGUUGUUAGGGAAGAACAAGUGCAAGAGUAACUGCUUGCACCUUGACGGUACCUAACCAGAAAGCCACGGCUAACUACGUGCCAGCAGCCGCGGUAAUACGUAGGUGGCAAGCGUUGUCCGGAAUUAUUGGGCGUAAAGGGCUCGCAGGCGGUUUCUUAAGUCUGAUGUGAAAGCCCCCGGCUCAACCGGGGAGGGUCAUUGGAAACUGGGAAACUUGAGUGCAGAAGAGGAGAGUGGAAUUC